AUACAUGCAAGUCGAGCGGACAGAAGGGAGCUUGCUCCCGGAUGUUAGCGGCGGACGGGUGAGUAACACGUGGGUAACCUGCCUGUAAGACUGGGAUAACUCCGGGAAACCGGAGCUAAUACCGGAUAGUUCCUUGAACCGCAUGGUUCAAGGAUGAAAGACGGUUUCGGCUGUCACUUGCAGAUGGACCCGCGGCGCAUUAGCUAGUUGGUGAGGUAACGGCUCACCAAGGCGACGAUGCGUAGCCGACCUGAGAGGGUGAUCGGCCACACUGGGACUGAGACACGGCCCAGACUCCUACGGGAGGCAGCAGUAGGGAAUCUUCCGCAAUGGACGAAAGUCUGACGGAGCAACGCCGCGUGAGUGAUGAAGGUUUUCGGAUCGUAAAGCUCUGUUGUUAGGGAAGAACAAGUGCAAGAGUAACUGCUUGCACCUUGACGGUACCUAACCAGAAAGCCACGGCUAACUACGUGCCAGCAGCCGCGGUAAUACGUAGGUGGCAAGCGUUGUCCGGAAUUAUUGGGCGUAAAGGGCUCGCAGGCGGUUUCUUAAGUCUGAUGUGAAAGCCCCCGGCUCAACCGGGGAGGGUCAUUGGAAACUGGGAAACUUGAGUGCAGAAGAGGAGAGU
rnacentral:rRNA from 1 species